CUUCACACUGACAUGAUGCUGGUGACUCUCUGUGCUCUCAUCUCUGCUCUAACAUGUGUGAGUGGUGUGACGGUGCUGACACAGAAACCUGUUUUAUCAGUGAGGAAAGGAGAGACAGCCACCAUGGACUGUAACCUGGGGACUGUUACUGGCAGUGCUGCUCGGUGGUAUAAACAGAUUCCAGGUGGAGUUCCUCAGUUUGUGCUGAGGUUUUAUCAUAGCUCUAGUUCUCCAACCUAUGGCUCUGGGUUCUCUGCUCCAAAAUUCACAUCCACUCAUCAGUCAAGAUCAGAUUAUCGUUUGAUCAUCAACAAUGUGGAGGAGGGAGACUCUGCAGUCUAUUACUGUCAGACAUGGGACAGCUCUGCUGCUGUAUCACAGUGA